ACGCUGGCGGCGUGCCUAAUACAUGCAAGUCGAACGCUGGAGAUCUAGCUUGCUAGAUCGAAGGAGUGGCGAACGGGUGAGUAAUACAUAAGCAACCUACCCACGAAGACUGGGAUAAUCUCUGGAAACGGGGACUAAUACCGGAUAGGUAAUCGGAAGGCAUCUUCUGAUUAUUAAAGGUUAAAAACACUGGUGGAUGGGCUUAUGGCGCAUUAGUUAGUUGGUGAGGUAACGGCCCACCAAGACGAUGAUGCGUAGCCGGCCUGAGAGGGUGAACGGCCACAUUGGGACUGAGACACGGCCCAGACUCCUACGGGAGGCAGCAGUAGGGAAUUUUCGGCAAUGGGGGAAACCCUGACCGAGCAACGCCGCGUGAGUGAUGACGGCCUUCGGGUUGUAAAAGCUCUUGUUUGUAAGGGAAGAACGGUAGAUAGAGAAUAUCUAAGUGACGGUACCUUACCAGAAAGCCACGGCUAACUACGUGCCAGCAGCCGCGGUAAUACGUAGGUGGCGAGCGUUAUCCGGAAUUAUUGGGCGUAAAGGGUGCGUAGGCGGCCUGUUAAGUAAGUGGUUAAAUUGUUGGGCUCAACCCAAUCCAGCCACUUAAACUGGCAGGCUAGAGUAUUGGAGAGGCAAGUGGAAUUCCAUGUGUAGCGGUAAAAUGCGUAGAUAUAUGGAGGAACACCAGUGGCGAAGGCGGCUUGCUAGCCAAAGACUGACGCUCAUGCACGAAAGCGUGGGGAGCAAAUAGGAUUAGAUACCCUAGUAGUCCACGCCGUAAACGAUGAAUACUAAGUAUUGGGGAAACUCAGUGCUGCAGCUAACGCAAUAAGUAUUCCGCCUGUGGAGUAUGCACGCAAGUGUGAAACAUAAAGGAAUUGACGGGGGCCCGCACAAGCGGUGGAGUAUGUGGUUUAAUU
rnacentral:rRNA from 1 species